CAGAUCCGUCCCUCCACUUCACGCGCUGUUAUCUGGAAGCCAGAUUAAAGUGGAGGCUAUUGAACAGCUCCAUUAAGAUUUAAUGCUGCCAUUCAGGAUUACACUCGACUCUGUGGACGGAAGGAUCGGCCUGUCCUCGUUUGGAUGGCUCAGUUUUGAUUUUAUAGAAAUGACUGGAAGGGUAAUUCUCAAAGGGAGAUUAUAUCAGCGCCCUGCCACAGUGACCUUUUAGCGUCUGCACGUUUGCAUAUUCAGUGUCAAGUGUAAAACCUGACUUUGAUUAGGGGGUUGAUUUUGGUCCUUAUCACAUGAAAGCUGUGGAAGAUCAGAUGAUGCCUGUGACUGCGUAAACCCACACAGGCACAGGUAACGUGAUUACUGGUGCACAAAAUUGCCGUUGUGCCUGAUCUGUUGCCCUUGCUUGACUCUGGUUGCUAAGCAAAAUGACGCUAGAGAUUGUGUCUGGGUAUUGUUUCACACUGGAGAGGCUCUCUGUUUCUUGCUGCGAGUGAGGAGGGUUGUGGGGCAACAGCCAUGAAAGUUCAUUUCCUACUUUGUCAUCAUCCAAAACUUAUUUCUGUGGGUCAAAACUAAAGCGGAAGACCGGGAUCAGGAAAACCAGAUCCGUUCCAAAUGAUCAAACAAAAGUUCUGCGAGGAAAAAAAAAAAAUUAUGAUAAUUUUUAGAUUAUGAGAUACAAAAUCAAAUUUCUGAAAUACUAAAUCAAAGUUUUGAUGUCACUAAAAUUAUAAGUCAUCAAUUUGGCUUAAACUCGUGCAGUUUUACACGAACAAUGAAGACAAUGGACUGAAUGAUCUGUUAACAGCUGGCCAUUUGUUUUGUGGGCCAUUAGACUGUGAACGCAGCCCUACGGCAAUGGGAAGCCCUCUGUAUUUUAUGCUCCUCCCUUCAACACCUGGCAACAGCAACAUGGCAACUGUGGCCCAGCAACCAUGCCAAGCACUGAGUCACAACCAGCCGCGCACACCCAGUGGGGCCAGGGCCACUGGGCUGCAUAAACAGGAACCAGGGGCUUAGAGGGCUUAGAGCAGGAGCCCCGAGGCAGAAAACACAAACACAUACACACUCGCACAGGAUCUCGCUGAACGUCUAUACAGUUCAUAAGUUAAUGAAAAGUUAAUGAAGAGGGAGCAGGUUUACAGCACAGAGACUUAAAGCUGCACCCCACAAUAUUUUACAUUAACAAUGGAUCAAAUGACUGUGUGUAAUAUGAAAAGCAGUUGUUCAUGGUGACAAACCCGACUUUUUUUUUUUUGGUCUCUUUCAGCUCAUUGUUUUGGUUUUACAGUGCGUAACUUCCGUAACUGUACUGUUUCAGUUGAGUCUCGCCGAUCUUGCAGACAGCUGUUUUCACCCAAAAAAAAAAAAAAAGAUCUGGUGACCUACACUGCCGGACCAGCACCAAACAGCCGACAAAAUUAGCACUUAGCUUACGAAGGAAGUCAAACAUCUAGCAGACAAAUAGCUUUAUACUUAACUCAGGAGCAGUCCAGUGAAUACUAAUGUUGUUCCGUAUCCGCUGGAUGAAACUCAAUCAGUUGCCUAUCCAGUUUAAAUGCAUCAGUUAUCAAUGAGGAAAUAUGCCACAACUAAUAGAUGACAUUUAAGAAAAAGGUUCAGGAAAAAUGUCAUCACUUACAUCUGAUGAUAUCCAGCCAUAGUGUUGGUUUUAUUAUGCCUCCGCGCCGGUGACAGCCACAGCCGAUAUCUCAGUAAUGCCUUGACGGAACUAGAUUUUGGUAGUCAAAGGUUAAGGUCACUCACAAAAUGCGAUUUUGGCCUUGUGAAUGCAAUAUCUCGAGAACACGAAAAGUCAAUUGAAUUUUGUUUGUAGUGUUCGCAGCAUUUUAAAUUGACAUAUAAAAAAACUCACCAGCAACAUCUCUUUUCCCAGAAACAAUGCAGUGGUUGCUCGGCUUAACCACAGAUAUCACGGUCAAAAACCUUUAAAGAAACUACUGUUUUGAAGGAAUAGGAGGGGUGUUGGCUGAACUGACCCUUUAAAACUACCUAUCAGAAGUAACACCACCCACUGUGUUAUGUUCAUUGACAUAUAUUGCAGAUAACCCUUUUAAAUAUACAAGGAUUUUCGAUGGUAAAUCACUGGUAUGAUUCACGUCUACUUCCUGCUCCCUCCAUCUGCCCGUUCCUCCACAAAACAGACACACAGUUGCAGGAUCUUAUCUAUUUCUCAGUGUCAAAAGAGCAGAAUAAACUCUCUGUGCUUUCCACUGGAAACCGCUCACAUGAAGUGAUAUUUUAUUCUCCUUACCAUAUCACACUUGUGCUUCAGUCAGAGCUGCUGUCUGGUAAGUACAAAUGGCGUUUUCAAAAGUGUGUGGUCAAAUCUGUUAGCAUCCCAGCUUCGGCCUCAUGUCUGACUCAUUCUUUACGCAGGUGGAACAGUUGAAUUACCACGAAGUGAUUGUGGUACGGGAUCCGUUUCCCCUCUUUCUCCUCUUAUAAAACUCACCUCAAAGGUCACGCUACUGCAGAUUGUCUGGUCUCUUCAGGCUUUCACGAGGAGCUCUUUGACUCAGGGUGACAGUGACUGCUGUAAACCUAAUGCACGAAAGCAAAAAGCACUGAAAAUGAAAUCCUACUGUGGAUUGGAAAUAUAAUUUUCUGCAUCCAAUGGGUAGACGUGUUCCUUAAUCUCAGACAUCAAAGAGGACAAAUUCACGCCUUUUUUAAAAUCUAAAGUUGAUUUAAUCUUUCUGACUUUCUUGUCUCUCUCUCUAUCUGCAUCUACGUCAGCAUGUGUGUUCACAUGUGCAGCAGUAACAGCUCGCCUCCCUUUGUCCGCAUUUUAUGACUGUUGUUUUACGGCAGCUGGGAUGUUUGUGUCUUUGUGGCAGCGCUCCGCGCACCACGCCACAGUUGACCUUGACAGCGCACUUUCAUUGAGUAGAUGCUGCACUUCAUUUUGUUGUGACGUUUGAACUCACCAGUGACCGGAUGCCAGGGGUUUCUGGCCUGUUAAUGUGUAUCCCCUAACACACACACACACACACACAUAUUUCAGGGUCUUUAAACCAUUUUGUCUCCACAGUAGGACCCAGUCUUGUUGUGUGCACCAGUGAUGAGGACCACUGCCGCUCUGCUCUCUCUCUUUUUUUGGGUAAACACUGCCAUCCAUGCUGCUCAAACCGGUUCAAAGUGUGGAGUUCCUCCUGUGUGGAGGCCGAUGGUUCACUCUCUGAGGGUGGUCGGGGGGACCGAGGCCGCAUAUGGAUCACACCCAUGGCUGGUUUCCUUACGGCUCAAGGGCUCUCAUUUCUGCGGAGGGGCCAUCCUGACUGACCGCUGGAUAAUGACCGCCGCACACUGCUUUACAUCAGUCUCGAAAGAGUUUCUCAGCGGUGUGACGGUGGCUGUGGGAGAGUUUGAUCGCGGAGUGGAUGAUGAAGAGGAGCAGGUCUUUCGUGUCAAGACUGUCUCAGUGCACGAAAAGUACCACCAUGCUUCGCCCAUGAGCCAUGACAUAGCAAUGGUAGAGUUGGACCGAGACAUCCAACUGGGGGUCCACGUCCAGCCAAUAUGUCUACCUCUGCCUGAUGAGAAAAUCCUUCCUCAAACCAGUUGCAUUGUGGGUGGAUGGGGCAGGAUAAAGGAAAAAGGUCGUCUUCCUGCGGUACUGAGAGAGGUCCGCUUGGACUUGGUGGACCCAGCCAAGUGUAAAUACGUCCUCCAGACUGUAAAAGGUUCAGUUCUGAACCAAGGACCAGUCCGCCCUCAGGCAGCCAUGACAGUUCUGUGUGCCGGACCAGAGAGAGGAGGCAGAGAUGCCUGUCAGGGGGACUCAGGGGGUCCUCUCGUAUGUCCAGCAGGGUCGAGCGGAGGUCACUGGGUGGCGCUGGGCGUAACUUCCUGGGGUAAGGGAUGUGGUCGGAGUUGGGCAAACAACAGCAGCCGACCCCCUUCCAAAAGAGGAUCUCCAGGGGUUUUCACUGAUGUCAGGCUGCUGCUGCCCUGGAUCAAGCGUAAACUGCGAGAGGCUGACGAGCAGCAGCAGGGAAUGACUGUAUCGAGACUCUGCAGUGUGAGAGAUGGGCCUGUAACUGACAUUGAGGGAGUAAUGAGAAACCCCGCCCUCCCUGGUGAUCACUAUGGCAACAACGAGUUGUGUGUGUGGAGUAUCAGUGUUCCUCCAGGUCACAGUCUCCUGCUGGAGUUUGAGCAUUUUGAUCUGGAGAAUGACUCUUACUGUCGCUACGAUCGACUCACCGUGUCAGUCGGGACCCACAGGCCUGUCGGAAUAUUCUGUGGAAGUGUCCCGCACCUCCCAGUGCUUCUUAUCCAUUCCCAGAAUGCAACACUUCUCUUCUCUUCUGACAUUAGCAGAGCAGGAAGUGGCUUUGUCAUUAGGCAUCAUGCUGUCCAGGGACAAUCUGAUCCUGGAUGCGGGACACUUGUUCUAGUUGAAAAUCAGACUGUUGUCCAUAGCCCAAACUACCCACAACCCUACAUUAAUGAUUGUGUCCUCCGCUGGGUCAUCUAUGCCCCACAGGGUCACGUUGUCAAGCUUGAGUUCGCUGAUAUUGAGCUGGAGGAGUCAGACAGAUGCUUGUAUGAUUCCCUCACUGUCCUGGGAGACGUGGAGCAAACAGAGGAGAUAGCGGUGCUGUGCGGUGGCAGUGUUCCUCCUCCCGUCCUGUCCUACCACAGCGUCAUGGUGCUUCGGUUCACCUCAGACAGCAGCAUCACACGUAGAGGCUUCAGUGCGACGCUGACAUUCAUCAGCCAAGCAGACCUCCACCAUGAUGAGGACAGACCUGGUGCAGAGGGUCAGGGAGGCAUUUGGAGAAGUCGCCAAGUGAGCCUGGAUGUCGCUGACCCAGAUGUGCAUCAGUCCAGCAGCAGAGCCCUGUCCGACCGGGGUGAUGUGGACCAGAGGAUGGGCUCAGAUGAUGAAGACUAUAGUGAAGAAUCCUCGGGGACUGUGUAGUAACCUGCUAGAAGGAGGCGUCUGUCUGGACAAGCCUGCUGUACAUUUCAACGUGUGUAACAUGUGGAAUAACACUGGUGGUGCGUUAAGCUCAGAUGAGGAUGACUGAGGCUGUACUGAAGGUGAUCCCAGUGGUGGCGGCUUUUUCCGUGGUGGUGGUGACGGUGCUGUACUUUGUCCUGCGAGCUUCUGCAGGAGGGAAGAAGCUACCUGUCACUCUGCAGGACCCUGUGGUCAAAUAUUCACUUCCACUUAUA